UCUGGUUGAUCCUGCCAGUAGUCAUACACUUGUCUUAAAGAUUAAGCCAUGCAUGUUUGAGUGCUUUGAUUGUCCAACAUUAAACUGCAGACGGCUCAUUACAACAGUUAUUGUAUUGUUGAGGUUAUCUUAUAGGUGGAUACCUGUGGAAAUUCUAGAGCUAAUACAUGUUACAAAUUAUAUAUUGUCGUAAUAUAUAAAGCUUUUAUUUUUAUCAAAUUAAAGUGUUUCUGCACUAUGGGUGAUUCGUAAUAAUGCUUUUGAGAUCGCUUUAUAAGUGACGAUUCAUUCAAGUUUCUGACCUAUCAGUUAGUCAGUAGUGUAUUGGACUAUUGAGGCAUUGACGGGUAACAGAGAAUUAGGGUUCUGUUCCGGAGAGGGAGCCUGAGAAACAGCUACUACAUCUAAGGAAGGCAGCAGGCGCGUAAAUUACCCAAUUCUGAAAAAGAGAGGUAGUAACAACAAAUCACAAUAUUUUGCCUUAGGGUUAAAUAAUUGUAUUGAGAACAGAGUAGAUACGUUAUCGAUAAACUAUUGGAGGGCAAGUCUGGUGCCAGCAGCCGCGGUAAUUCCAGCUCCAAUAGUGUAUGCUAACAUUGUUGCAGUUAAAAAGCUCGUAGUCGAAUUUUUAAGGGAACCAAUUUCGUGUGGUCUUAAUGAACUACAAGGGAAUAUGGUUUAUCUUAUUUUAUGCUUGUACACCGUUGGAAUUCGUUUUCUGACGGUGAGAUAAGUUUCUGUUUACUUUGAGAAAAUUAGAGUGUUCUAAGCAGUCUUACGACUUUAUCCUAAAGCAUGGAAUGAUAAGUAAUGACAUCGGUUAAUUUGUGAUGGUUUGAGAGGUUGAUGUAAUGAUUUAUAGAGUUAGUUGGAGGUAUUAGUAUUUUGUCGUUAGAGGUGAAAUUCCGGGAUCGACAAAAGACUAACAACUGCGAAAGCAUUUGCCUAGGAUUUGCUCCUUGAUCAAGAACGUAAGUUGGGGGAUCGAAGACGAUCAGAUACCGUCGUAGUCUCAACUUUAAACUAUAUCAGCUAGGGGUUGGCAAAUGUUUAUAUGACUUUGUUAGAACCUUUGGGAGAAAUCUAAGCGUUUGGGUUCCGGGGGGAGUAUGGUCGCAAGGCUGAAACUUAAAGGAAUUGACGGAAGGGCACCACAAGAUGUGGAUCCUGUGGCUUAAUUUGACUCAACACGGGAAAACUUAUCAGAUCCAGACAUAGGUAAGAUUGACAGACUGAUAGCUCUUUCUUGAUUCUAUGGGUGGUGGUGCAUGGCCGUUCUUAGUUGGUGGAGUGAUUUGUCUGGUUAAUUC
rnacentral:rRNA from 1 species